rnacentral:rRNA from 1 species
GACGAACGCUGGCGGCGUGCUUAACACAUGCAAGUCGAACGGCAAGGCCCUUCGGGGUACACGAGUGGCGAACGGGUGAGUAACACGUGGGUGAUCUGCCCUGCACUUCGGGAUAAGCCUGGGAAACUGGGUCUAAUACCGGAUAGGACCACUGCCUGCAUGGGUGGUGGUGGAAAGCUUUUGCGGUGUGGGAUGGGCCCGCGGCCUAUCAGCUUGUUGGUGGGGUGAUGGCCUACCAAGGCGACGACGGGUAGCCGGCCUGAGAGGGUGACCGGCCACACUGGGACUGAGAUACGGCCCAGACUCCUACGGGAGGCAGCAGUGGGGAAUAUUGCACAAUGGGCGCAAGCCUGAUGCAGCGACGCCGCGUGAGGGAUGACGGCCUCCGGGUUGUAAACCUCUUUCAGCACCGACGAAGCGCAAGUGACGGUAGGUGCAGAAGAAGGACCGGCCAACUACGUGCCAGCAGCCGCGGUAA